UCUGUAGGUUUAAGUUUAGUGAUGGCACCUCUACAGAUGAAACAGCAAUCUCUGUGGAAGAGAAAGCAAUAGUUUGCCCUGGAGUUGAACUGGAGGAAGCUGGAGAGGAAAUCUUUGUUGAAAUCAGCCUGAACAAAGGCCAAACCUUCUUUGCCAAUAACCUCAAAUUCACCAGCCAACUCUGUG